CGUUAAGGUUCAAGGUUCAAUGAAAUACAAGCAAACAUAACAUGUCGUGAAGUGGUUUGAGGUUUCGAGUUCUUGGCUGUGUAUAUGCAUUGUGACAUCUAUCCCCUGUGAGAAGGUGCAGUGGGAGUGCUUCGGCCUAAUAUAGUGUAUCCAUAUAUGUAGACACAGAUACGUGUGUGCUCAUAACGUACCACAUUACUUAUCACAUUCACAGCGGGCGAUACAGGUAUAUAUGUUGUAAGCAAAAAGAGAAGGGAAUAUACACCAAGCUAUAACAAGUUCAAAGAAUUAAUGUACAUGUGUGUAUUCUCAACGUGUGGCCACUCAGGAGUCAGGCAGCGCUCGUGUUCGUAGUCCGUGUGGUUUAGGUAAAGCGAACCUAACUUAUGUACAUUUGCCCCCCAAGGAAGCAUAGGUUAAGUCAUACAACACCAUGUCAUAGGAAAGGGGGCUAUUUGGUCUCGUGGUGAGGGUCUGCCGAUUCGAGUCAGGGAAAUCAGAGUGGUGAUGGUUUAUGGUCAGGGGUGCUGUCGAGUCUAGUCGGGCGUGUGUGCUACAGGGUCGGGGCUGGGACUUCUUCCGCAUCGUGGAUGCGUAUGAGAUAGGCUUCUGUGUGUGCAAUGGCGCUUAAGUAUCUUUUUCCGUUGUGAUUAUCAGCCCAUUCCUUGUCACUUCCCGACCCUAAUGCCCCCACCCAUUAUCUCCUCUUGUGAGUAACCAUAUCCCAAGAUCCAAGUUAGAAGCAGAGACCGACCAUUCCCCCGUGACCACCACCUGCAGCAGAGCUCGAGAGUUGUAUGGUAUAUUUCCCUAUCCCCAUGCCGUCUGAGAGUCCCCGUGCCGUAUGAUCGCAUCAAUAUUUGUGCCCUAUCGGGGGCGACUAACUCUGUUACAUGUACGUGUAGCGGUACCUAUCCGUCGAGUGAUACGGUGUAGGUCGCGUUCCAUUCAAGGAACAACCAGAGCAGUACCCUUCCCUAGUGAUGGGGUUAGCAAUCAGGUUCCAGGAUCCUUUAUCAAGCCAGAGUCCAGAGUCACUAUCUGUUGGUGUCAAUGUCUGUCAUAAUAUGUAUGUCGUCAUCUACCUGUCCUGUAUUCGUCCUGUCAGUCCCGAUCCCAGGCGGACCGGACCCCUGACGACUCAUUACAUAGAGGGAGAGGAGAAAGUUAAAAAGGGGGGGGGCAUUGUAACCUGAGCAGCACUUCCUCGAGCGUCCGCUUCCUGUCGGUGUUCGGCAAUAUAUAAGAACCACGGGGUCCACAUUUCAGCAUGCUUGGCUUCUCGGCCUGUGAUGAUGGCAUGGGCUUCUUCUGCCCCCUGGAUCUCUUCCACCCUGCGAAUCCAUUCCUGUUUAGUCGGUACCGCGGUCGACUUCCAAUGGGCCGGGAUGUUCGCUUUGGCGGCAUUAAGCAAGUGUCGUAAAAUCGACUUCUUGUACACCGAGAUGGGUUGAGUGGAGAUGUGUAACAAGGCCAAUUCCGCGGUCCAGUCCGGGACGUCUCCCAUGAUAAGCGUCACCGUGGUUUUGACCAUUUC